CUUUUUUGUAAAAUACGUUCAUACACAUCCGUCACUUUUACGACUUAAAUAUUUAAAACUCAACCGUCAACGCUCUAACUGCUAGGAUGGAUACAGCAAAGAUUGUUACUCUGUUUCUUAUGUUAUCGUUUUUCAGAGGUGGUUUAAGCAGGUGUGAUAUUGGUUGGGUUCAUGAAAAUCAGUCAUGUUACUACUUUAGUCGAUUUUCUACAAACUUUUACACGGCACUGGUUUUCCCGAUUUUUAUAUUGGAUUGACCGACUUAUUCAGCGAGGGUGAUUGGCAAAAGGCGACAACGCUGGAAAGACAAAAUGUCCUAAAAUGGGCCAAUGGACAACCUGAUAAUGCGCACAACAAUCAGCAUUGUGUUCAAGUUUGGGUCUCAUCAAUGACAUUUGAUGACCUUUGGUGUCAUUAUGAUCGUCAUUUUGUUUGUGAGAAAUAAAAUGUCAAUUCCCUUACUAAUUAAGGAAUUCACGUUGCAUUUAUAUGAUAACAAUAAAAUUAAAAGUUUUCAUAAAUGCACAUCUUACGACGCCAUUUGACCAACUUAUUCUUUAAUUUUCAAUGUAUAAAUAAAACCUUUUGAAACAU